AACGAACGCUGGCGGCAGGCUUAACACAUGCAAGUCGAACGAACUGGCGCCUCCUGUCUCCGGUGCUCGUGGCGCACGGGUGUGUAACACGUGGGAAUAUCCUCUUUAGUACGUAAUAACCAAUUCAAACUUUUGCUACUACCGUAUACUCCCUUCGCGUGCUAGAUUUAUCGCUAAAGAAUUAUCCCGCGUCUGGUUAGGUAGUGGGUGGGGUAAUGGCUCACCAAGCCGACGAUCAGUACCUGGUCUGAGAAGAGGAUCAGCCACACUGGGAAUGAGGCACGGACCAGAAUGGUAGGGAGGGCAGCAGAGGAGAAUAUUGGACGAGGAGGGCAAAACUGACCCAGCCAUGCGGGGGAAGAGAAGAAGGGGGUCGGGUUGUAAAGCUGUUUCGAAGGGGACGAUGAUGACGGUACCCGUAUAAGAAGCCCCGGCAAACUUCGUG
rnacentral:rRNA from 1 species